AACGAACGCUGGCGGCAGGCUUAACACAUGCAAGUCGAACGCAUCGCAAGAUGAGUGGCAGACGGGUGAGUAACGCGUGGGAAUCUACCGAGCCCUGCGGAAUAGCUCCGGGAAACUGGAAUUAAUACCGCAUACGUCCUUAGGGAGAAAGAUUUAUCGGGGUUUGAUGAGCCCGCGUUGGAUUAGCUAGUUGGUGGGGUAAAGGCCUACCAAGGCGACGAUCCAUAGCUGGUCUGAGAGGAUGAUCAGCCACAUUGGGACUGAGACACGGCCCAAACUCCUACGGGAGGCAGCAGUGGGGAAGAUUGGACAAUGGGCGCAAGCCUGAUCCAGCCAUGCCGCGUGAGUGAUGAAGGUCUUAGGAUUGUAAAGCUCUUUCACCGGAGAAGAUAAUGACGGUAUCCGGAGAAGAAGCCCCGGCUAACUUCGUGCCAGCCGCCGCCGCGGUAA
rnacentral:rRNA from 1 species